GAUGAACGCUGGCGGCGUGCCUAAUACAUGCAAGUCGAGCGAACAGACGAGGAGCUUGCUCCUCUGACGUUAGCGGCGGACGGGUGAGUAACACGUGGAUAACCUACCUAUAAGACUGGGAUAACUUCGGGAAACCGGAGCUAAUACCGGAUAAUAUAUUGAACCGCAUGGUUCAAUAGUGAAAGACGGUUUUGCUGUCACUUAUAGAUGGAUCCGCGCCGCAUUAGCUAGUUGGUAAGGUAACGGCUUACCAAGGCAACGAUGCGUAGCCGACCUGGGAGGGUGAUCGGCCACACUGGAACUGAGACACGGUCCAGACUCCUACGGGAAGCAGCAGUAGGGAAUCUUCCGCAAUGGGCGAAAGCCUGACGGAGCAACGCCGCGUGAGUGAUGAAGGUCUUCGGAUCGUAAAACUCUGUUAUUAGGGAAGAACAAAUGUGUAAGUAACUAUGCACGUCUUGACGGUACCUAAUCAGAAAGCCACGGCUAACUACGUG
rnacentral:rRNA from 1 species